rnacentral:rRNA from 1 species
AUGGCGCUCUUGGGUUCUCCCAGGAGCAUGUCUGUCUGAGUGUCU